UACGGAGGAUGCGAGCGUUAUCCGGACUUAUUGGGUUUAAAGGGUGCGUAGGCGGGCUUUUAAGUCAGCGGUAAAAAUUCGGGGCUCAACCCCGUCCGGCCGUUGAAACUGGGGGCCUUGAGUGGGCGAGAAGAAGGCGGAAUGCGUGGUGUAGCGGUGAAAUGCAUAGAUAUCACGCAGAACCCCGAUUGCGAAGGCAGCCUUCCGGCGCCCUACUGACGCUGAGGCACGAAAGUGCGUGGAUCGAACAGG
rnacentral:rRNA from 1 species